AUAAAGACAUGCACCACCACAGCUAGCCUAGGCUUUUCUAUCUUUAAGUGGCUCUUGGAAAGUAUGAGAGUAAAUGACCUAGGUGCUACGCUAGCCUCUCCGGCUCCUUGCUUACUCCCCUGUCAGCUCACUGUCUGCAAUGCUUCUUCUGAAGAACAAUAUAUGCCAUCACAUCUCUACAUUUUCUUUUAAGGUUUAUUUUUAAAAAUCCUGCAACUCAGUAAACUUCCAAAGUGGGUGCACUAAAAACUCAGGCUUUUCUUCUCUCUAGCAAGUCAUUGUUUUGAUUUGGAAAUCAGAUAGCUUGCUGCCUUCCUAGAAUGGACAGCUGGAGAUAGGUCUCAUCCCUAGGAUUAGGGAGGAGGAUUUCUGAUCAAAGGGCUAGGAUUUUUAUAGAUCUCAGUCAAGAGCAAGUGAUCAAACAACUCCACUCUUUGAGACAAAACUGUGUGUUGAUGGGCAGUGCAAGUGGAUGCUAAUUGCCAACCUGAAGCCUUUGAUCUUGGUGUCUUCACGAAUGACAACCGGCAAAUGGCUUCAUCUCAUGCUCUGGGAUCCAUGGACUUAGAUCACUUCCUGGACAAAGCUAGAAUAACUAGUGGCCUCCUAGGGGGUCCACCCUGGCUUUAAGGAAUGACACGUGGGUGUCACAUUGACGUCAAGAAGGCAGCAAACAAAACUUAAGCUUGAAAUUUCAAUUCUGUAAGAGUCAGCCAUGUGCUACAUGGUUUUAAAGACAAUAAAGAAAGCAUUUCUUAACUCCCCCUUAUCCCCCAAAUCAAACAAAAGGACACUCAGAGAAGCGUCAAGCAAAUCGGAUGUGCUUUUAUAGAAAAUUCAGAGUCCAAUUUUCUUUCAUAUAAAAGGUUUUCUUCUCCACAAAAACCAGGCUCCUUAGAAACUAUAAACACAAUUGGUAUAAAUGAAAACAUUUUGGCCCUCUAAAACAUGGUGAUUGAAAAGUUGUAUAUUAUAAUCUGUGUAUCUGGUGUGAUGUGGUCUCGGUGCUAUUUCCAAGGGAAGAAGAAAUAAAGUUUCACAUCUCCCACCAAACACAGUGGUCCUUUGUGUACGAUGGUAAGGACUCCUGGAGGGUGGACCUAGCAUUUUGGAUCCCAAAAGGUAAGUGACUCUUACCGCUCUAUGCUAUCCUCUUCCUUCCCCAUUCAGUCCCGUAGUCCUCACAGUUAAGAAAAGAGAAAUCUCUCCCUCUUGUUUCUUUGAAAUAUGAGUAGGGCAAGCACAGUCACAAUGGAGACACAGUGGUGAUGUUCUACAACGGCAGUCCCGCUGACGAUACCCAUUUCUGCUUGGUGGGCAUGGGUCAUGUGACACGUCCUCAAACACAGGUGCGCUGACCCGGGGCCUCUCUACCCCAUUCUUUCUUUUCUCCCUGGAGCACCUGCCUCCCACACCUGCUGCUGAUGUCUCUUUAUAACAACCGCUCUGCGCGUUAUGCAUUUAAGACUGUGAAAUGGAACUGAAGCGCUUUAAUAAAAAGGAAAGAAUAUUCUAUCUACUAUUUUUCUAGUUUUUAUGCCUACCCAAAUCCAGCACCUGUUUUUGACACAUUGAUGCAAGCUUGAUAAAAACAUUAUGAAAGUUUGUUUUUCUGAUAAGGCCUAACUCCAAGUCCAUUGUGCACCUUCGUGUGGAAACUGUGUGACUGAUGGACUUGCAAUCACACCUCUAUUAUGGGCUUAAAGGAGUCGUACUUUUCUUUGAUUUUCACAUACUUGGCACUCAGCCAUGAAAGUUCAGAAUACUCUCUGCUCCUGUUUCUCCUGAGGGUCAGUCCGUCUUCUCCCCCUAAGCCUUCCCCUGACUACGAAACCUAGGCAUCCUGCUCAGCUCUACAGUUCUCUGUCACUUUCAUAGGUUUGCCAGUGAUUUCUUUAUUCCUCGUCUACAAUGCUUAGAAGCUCACAAUGUCCUUGUUGCACAUAAGUCACAGUCAAUCCUAAAGGUUGGGCUGUCUAGACUCCCUGUUCAUCUUUAUGAACGUACACUUCUAGGUGAGUAUUGGUGAGCUCUUCCAGGGCACUAGGUGUGCAAAGUCAAAAAGAUCUGAAGCCACAGAUAGCUUGUUUAUCCACAGGGCAUGUGAAAAUCAGUUAAGAAAUUAAAGCUUCAGAGCCUAGAGGACACUUGGCUAAAUCCAAAUCAUGUCCAUUAUUACAAAGGUAGACAAUAUUAGCAACAGGCAGUGAGUAAAUGCAUGGUAGCUUCUACUGAAAGGUAAAGUAGGUACUUUUCGGAAAGAUUGCUGGCAAAUGACCUCACGUAUUUUGUGAAUCCAUGGCUCUUGGGAAAGGGGAUUUGAUGUUUAGGAAUUGUGUACUUGAAUAGCAAAGAUCAUUUCGAGCAGGUGCAGGACAGAAUGCAUCACACUGUCAGGUCAUUAAGCUUCUAAUGAGUUUACAAAUGCAAAGCCAGGUUAGAAAAGCACAGAGUUUGCUUCCUGCAGGCACCUUGAUAACUAGGGAUGCUAGAUUCAGUCAAGCAGAGAGCAGCAGCAACAGCAGAUUGGUUCUAUAUGCAGCCUGUUCUUGCUAAGAGUGGGAAGUGGACUGAAGAAAGGGUUGGGGGCAACUGAGAGGGUCAGCAAAGGACUGCUAGGAACCUGUGAACAUGGCUUGUCAGAGGUGACCACACACCAAUUUCACAAGCACAUACUUAAUUCAUCACUUAGAGUAUACUUUUUUCAAGAGUGGCUUUGUGAGGCAUAUAAUGUCUCUAUUUCCUCAAGUCAGGUUCAAAAUUUCAGUAAAUGGGCUGAGGAUAAUACUAGAAAUUCUCUUGAUGUAGCAAUAUAUAAUUAUUCAGGAAAAGAAAUUAACGAGCUAAAGAACCUGAGGGAGAGAGCUUUGACAAACAGGGAUGUUUGUGAGUAGUAACAAACAUAUUUGCAUUCUGUGAAGCCAUGAGCAAGUUUAACUUUCCCCGUUGUUUCUGUUUGUUGGAACAGAGUGAGCCUUUUUUCAGAAACACAAUGUGAAACUGUGCUGUAGAGUAUCUGAAAGGAUGGAUUGUGAAGUGAUUUGGGGGCGAGGCAUGGAGCAACAAGUUCUUUAUGCAAAAACCAGCACUGAGCUGCUGCUGGGGGCGGGGUUAGGAAUACUUGCUCCUGGGGGCGGGGUUUGGAAUACUUGCUCCUGGGGGUGCAUGGGGAGGAAUACCGAGUGGCAGCAUAUUUACUCUAGUGUAUUUGCAAACAUGUUUCAAGCGAACUGAGGCCUCACCGCAGAGCUUAGCUCUAGUCAGGGCCAGCUGUUCCUGUGGUGUUUCACCUGCACUUAACUUGCCAGAGGACAAAACUGUUUAAUGAGGGAAAGCUUCAGUGUUAUCCUGUUUGACCACAUGCAGUUCAUCUUAUCUUCUUGCUUGGCAUUGAUUGGGACCUCUUGCAUUGACUGUGUCUUUUGUCCUCUUAAUGACAUUAAUUGGAGUAUGCUUUUGGUACAAAUAAUUUAACACGAUUCCAUGUUGACAUCAAAACACCGAAAGAUACUCUGCUCUAAAUACACAUUCUCAGAACUUCGUCUCUGCAAAGAGGAAGACCCACAGCAAGGGUCAAUGAUUCCUGAUGUUUCUAUGAUUCCUCCAUUCACAAAGUCAAUCUUUACAUUUUUCCUUUUCAAUCAUGCUCCAGGAAUCCAAUUCCAGAUCCCUCCGAGAGGCUGCCACAAAAUUCAAGAGACACAUUAUGGAAGAUGGGUGCAAAGGAGGAUAGAAGCCAGGGGAACGGGGAUGUCUGCAGUAAAACUGUAUUUGCUGGACCUGAUGGCACAGUUGCAUAAUGAACUCACAGUGGCUCUGCCUGCAUCGACAAGACACAAACAAGAACAAGCCAGGCAGAUAACUGCAUGAAUGGGGGAGGGGCUUAGGAAGCCGCGCCCAUACUGGCGGCCUAAAGCUACUGGCAAUUGCUGGAGGAGGGAUCUGGGCCUUGACAGUUACUUGUGAGAAUGGUCUUACAGCUGUGCACAUACAGUCAGCACUAGAUGGACUCUAUUAAAUUGGUGGUUUCCGUAGGGAGAGGACAACAAAUUGGGGUGUGUGUGUGUCUGCGUGUGUAAGAAUAGAGGAGGUAGUAGAAGGGAAGAAAUGGGAUAUAUUGGGAUUAGAUCCAAAUGUAUUGCAUGCAUGUAUAAAUAUUAAAUUAAAUAUUUUUUAAAUUCUAGAGAGACUGUGAGAAACACUUGAAUAGAACAGAGCAGAGGACCUGAGGCUGAGACUCACCAGAGAACACUUUGAGUGCUUCCUCCCGAGUGAGUGACUUAAUGAGGUCUUAUCUACGCACCACAGACUGGGCAGCAACUUAUGAUCCUUCUCCUUCUGGCCCCGAAGUGCUAGGACUAUUGGUAUAUCCCACAAUUCCUGGUUUACACGUAGAUGCUUAAUAAAUGUUUUCAAUACAAAACAAAUUGCUACAUCACAAAAGGACAGUUUACCCAUCACUCUAACUUCUCAUAACGUUUCUUCUUUUUUUAAAUUACAACUUGUCCAUCGUUUGUGUGUGAGCAUGUGUGUGCAGGCAUGCUUGCACUAAUGUGUACGACUCAGAAGACAGCUUGUGAGCGUCCGUUCUCCCUUACACUGUAGAUUCCAGAGUUGCCAGGUUUGCAAGGCAACUUUUACUGCUGAGCGUCUUACCAGUUAUGCCUCCUGUUUCUUAAUACCACUGCAGAAAAGUUGUAUAGAAAUGCUUUCUAAUUGUGAUGUUUAUAUAUAGGUAGGGUGUGCUAUGUAUGUAUAUGUAUUAUAUGUAUGUAUAUAUAUAUGCAUAUAUGUAUGUGAAGGUAAUAUCUACCUACCUAUUUAUAACAUAAAUGAUAUUAUACUACAAAAACUGUGGUUCAUGUCAGAAGUGCUUCCUGUUGUCUCAGGUAUUUUAACAUUUGACCUGCAGUUGAUGCCACUGUUUGGGGAGGUUUAAAUGUUACAGUUUUGAUGCCUACUACCUACUCUCCUGCCCUUCCUGCCAUUAUGAACUUUGACCCUCUGGGACCAUAUGUCAGGAUAAACUUUUCUUCUACAUGUUGCCUUGGUCAUGGUUUUAUCACAGAAACAGAAAAGUGUUUGCGUCUACAAACACUAAUCUCCCAGUACUCAGCAACAAGCUGUGAACACCUUAUUAAUACUCACCCAUCCCCACUGUGCCUGUCUAAAUUCACCCGGUAUCCCUGGCUGCUGUUGAGAAAGUUUAAGGAACUCAACCUUCAGAAUAAGAGCCCUGCGAACACUGGAGAUGGUAACACACCCAAGGACUCUCUGCAGAGCCCUGGUGCUCCAUGAGAAAGUCUCCGGAAGUCUGUAGGGUAAGAAGCACUUUCACAAGCAGCCCUAAGAGAGCAUUUGUUUCCCACUGUGCUGACAUUUGCACGGGCACUGGCCUGUAACAGUGUUGUACUGAUCUGCUGACACCUUGAUAUGAACCAAAGGACUUGGAGCAGAAUGUGCAAGUAUGUUUGAGCCAUAUUUGAAGUGAUGGCUGACAUGUGAGCUAUGGCGAUUUAGACCUGGGGAUCUGACCUUUUCCCGUGAAAACAUGUGAAGAGCCAUUUAUUUCCAAGCCAAGGUUCAAGGUUUUGAUAAUACCCAGAUUUUUAGAAAAUGUGUAUUUUCUAUUUUUGUGCUCGCACCCUUGCAACAGUGGAAGAGGUCUUGCAUGAGCCCAAUGGCAAUCUUACUGAGUGUGUUUUAAUGUUGUAUAAUGAAGUAGAACAACAUAGAUGAUAUGAACCAACGAACUAAUAGUCCCAAGUGACCAAUACCCUACAUGCCUUCAAAUUAACAAGUAAGUUAAGAGCCAUUCCAAAUGCAAGGCAGCAAAAGAUUUUUAAACCACGGACGUGGCUCACUGGUACAGCUUCAGACAUCACUGUCUGACUUAAUAUUAAGUAAUAUUUGUCAUAUUUUAUGGAGGCAGCAGAGAACGUUCAUAAUUAUUGUGAAAGCCACCGAAA
rnacentral:sRNA from 1 species